UACGGGGGGGGCAAGCGUUGUUCGGAAUUACUGGGCGUAAAGGGCUCGUAGGCGGCCAACUAAGUCCGACGUGAAAUCCCCAGGCUUAACCUGGGAACUGCGUCGGAUACUGGUUGGCUUGAAUCCGGGAGAGGGGUGCGGAAUUCCAGGUGUAGCGGUGGAAUGCGUAGAUAUCUGGAGGAACACCGGUGGCGAAGGCGGCAUCCUGGACCGGCAUUGACGCUGAACAGCGAAAGCCAGGGGAGCAAACGGG
rnacentral:rRNA from 1 species